AUAAGUCUUCAUGAUGGCAUCAACAUCCCCGAUGGCAAGUUCUACCUAGGAGAUGAUGACUAUGCAUGUCGGCUAGGUGUUCUUCCACCCUCCAUGAAAACCAGGUACCAUCUGAACGAGUUCUCUGGUAGGAACUAUCCUAGGACUCCUCAGGAAUUGUUCAAACUCAAACACUACAGCCUUAGAGUAACGGUUUAGAGGGCAUUUGGAGCUCUGAAGAAUAGGUUUAAGAUCAUGGAUCAGAAGUCAUUCCAUCCUUACCCUACCUAGGUCAAGCUUGUUCUUGCAUGUUGGAUAAUUCACAACUGGAUCCUGGAAUGGGGAAUUGAUGAACUUGUGCCAGAGGAGGAAGAUGUGACUCCUGAUGAGGUGAUCAGCUCCAACCAUGGUGUGGAGGCGUUCGACGACAAAGCAUGGAAGAACAAAAGAUUGGAGUGGGCUCAGGCAAUGUGGGAUAAUAGAGGUCAGACAAGAAUCUAA
rnacentral:rRNA from 1 species